ACACCUUCACCUAGGUGCUUCUGCUGGAAGGAGAGCUUUUUUCAUUAAGCAGAGGUGUGACUUUCACUGCUAGAGAAGGAAAGUCUUUUAACUGAAGAGUUACACCUGAAUGACUGUUAUCCCUUCAGGAAAAGAAAAAGAAAAAAAAACCCUAAUGGGACCAACAAAUAACUAAUGAGUCUGUCUACGGAGGAGAAGCAAGAAAAGCAUAUCACCUUGUCUUGUUUGGUUUGGCAGAGCUGGAACACUUCAUAACAGAUGAAGCUGCUACAACUUGCCUUCCUUUCUCCCAGAGCUGCGCAGCCUCUGCUGCCAGAAGCGCUCUUCCAUUGUAGCGCAUGCAGCAGGUGACACAGUGUUGACCUGAAAAAACAUAGAAGACCCUCGUUAAUUACCUGUGCAGGUGACACCAGACUGGAAGAGCUAAGGAUUAUGAAGAUAAGUUUAAAAGAAUUAUGAUUAAGAAGAGAAAGAAGACUGUGUUUCCUACAGCACGCGCUGAUGCACAGUGAACACUUUGUGCCUCCCAUGAAAGUCGGCGGAGCCUUAUCAUUGGCUGAAAAUGAAAGAAGUGGGCUACAUGAAAAUGCAACUGGAAAUCUUACUAUUUAUUAUUCUGGAAGUGCUUCUUUGUAUUCCAAAGUAGCUGUAUUCAUGGGAUGUAUUUAGUAAGGGGACAUUUAUAAUUUUGUUUUGGGAAGUCAAGAAGGGGUAAUCUAUACACACGAGAAGUAAAACUUUAAAGAAGUGGGAUCUUUCUGAAGUGCAGUUAAAGUGGUUUACUUGAUAGAGAUGCCAAAAUAAAGAAAUAGAAAAUUCAGAACCAUCUGGUACAAGGCAAAAUUUCAUUUUAUGAAGAGACUUUUAGAGAGAGAUUUUUGAAGAGUUAGCACCUGUAAAUUGAGCUGAAAUGAGCAUUUUCAACCACAGAUCUUCCUAGUGCUCGGUCAUUAACUUCUUCAGACUUCUUCGGCAGUCUGCAUAUAUGAACAAAAAUUGUAUGCUGUCUUUUAGAUGACUAUAAAAAUGUAUUGAAAAGGGGCUGGGAACAUUAGGAAGAAUCAUAUUUUUUGUUGCACUUCCUAUUUUAUGAUCUGUUGCACUUUCGGAAUUUGUAAGCAAACAAAUGAUAUCAUAGUAUGCUGGCACUGAAAAUUAAUUCUGGAUUAGAAAGUGAAACAUUCAUUUCUCUCUUUGCCUUUCUUUCUGUUGCUCUUUUGUCUAAAUUAAGGAGGGAGAGGUAAAAAUGUUAGAUUUUGUGAAUUUAUUCUAAAGGAAUUGAAAGUUCUCGGUAAAACCAACUACUAUGGAGAAAUGUCAGCCACAUUUCUCUGUAC